rnacentral:lncRNA from 1 species
GACAGCACGGGCACCCGCACGGCCGCAGUGAGGACAGCACGGGCACCUGCACGGCUGCAGUGGUGCUGCUUGCUCAGGCUGGCCAGGCUAUGGUGGGUCACUGAGCUCGCUGUUUGCAUCCCAGUGAGACAGAUGGAGAUGGUGGUGCUUGCCCAGUGAGAGUGGCCCGGUGCUGAGGAGUUCUAGAAUUUUGCAUGGAAGGAUUGAAAACUGAGGAGGCAGGAAGGCAGUGGGAGGAAGGACUGCGGUCAUUUUGUGUGGCCUUACGGGCUUCCCUGUGACAACAGGUGGAGGGGACAGGUUGGUGCAGGGAGGGGAGGGGCAGUCCCGGGGGCUCCAGACAGGGAAGAAGUCUCCAUCAACGAGAGCUUUCACAAACUGGAAAGGACUGCUCCAAAAAGUAGAAUUUCCAUGCCCGUGGGGGUGUCAAGAGCAGAACACGGGAUCCCACCUGAAGGGCACGAUCCAGGGGAAUUCAGACAGGAGGUGAGGAUGGGGUGGACGACGGCCUGAGCCUAAGCAUGUGGCCACCCCGGGACUGGGUCUGCAGACAGUUGAUGAGCAUGAGCCGUCGACUUUAUUUACAGAGAUUCUCCUCCAGGCUCCUCCCAGGUGCGCCAGGAGCAUCAAGAAAUGCAGACGUAACUGGGUCCAGGGCUCCCCACGCUUGGGUUGUGGGGACCUGCUCCCCGGGUGGGGUGAGUGCUCCUAGAAGUCGGGGAAGGUGGGUGCUGGGUGACGUCAAAAAAGGGAGAAUGUGGGAUUUCAUAUGGGCUGGGGAAUGGCUUGGUUUCUUAUAGGAAGACAGGAAGGUGGGUUACCUGCUCCCAGGCAGGGAAGAACAAAAGAAACAGGGAAGGCAGCCUGGGUGGUGGCUGGGGGUCUCACCUGACCAUGGCUGAGCUCCUGUUGACCUUGGAGAAGGAAGGGUGGGGCCAGACUCUGGAUGGCUUGGAGCCCCCGGCCAGGGUCCACACUGGGAAGAAAGGAAGGGUGGGGCCAGACUCUGGAUGGCUUGGAGCCCCCGGCCAGGGUCCACAAUGGGAAGAAAGUAAAGGGAAGUUAACGACUGAAGGUUCUCUCAGUUAUCGCAAGAGAUGCAGAACUACUGAAGAACCCGGAUGGAGUUGGAGUCAGACUGUGAAGGUGAGGAAGAGGCAAGAGUGGAAU